rnacentral:tRNA from 1 species
GGGGCGUAGCUCAGCUGGUUAGAGCGCUGGCCUGUCACGCCAGAGGUCGCGGGUUCGAGUCCCGUCGCUCC